GCAGCAUGUAUAGUUCUAACACAAUUUGAAUCUAACGUGAAGAACGAUGACAUGUAACCAAUGACAAAGUUAAGAGGCGUGACUUGCUGGAGGAGCCCCGGCUGCGAUGUGAAGACAGUAAUUAAACCCCGCUGCAUCCGCAAAAGACAGCUGGUGUUUCAAGCGGGGUGUAUAUCGUUUCUGUUGUUGAGCGGAUUUGAACACCGACCGUGUUUGGUAAACAAAUUUUUGGACCUCCAAAUCUUGUUCAAGUGACCGGCAUCUGCGUCAGUUGGACUGGGUGGCCAGACUGUGAUCUUACACAACCUGAGCAGAUACUUUGUAUUGAGGACAGUCGGGUGAUGAUACAAAGUACAUUACCACAAUGGGGUCAGUUACGGAUACCCUUCCUUGUGGCUGCACAGCGUGAGGGGAUUUUUGUUUUCUUUCAGGCUUGAAAGCUGAAGGUAAUACAGCCAACUCUUCAAAACUGCGCUGUAUGUAAAUGUGUGUUUGAGUUAGAAUAUUUAAAUCUGAAAAGUGGAUUGUUAUUUACACGUUAAACCAGAGAAAUGGCGAAAGAUAAUGCUAACGACAGUCCAGACACGGAACAGCCAACAACCUCUACAAAUAAUCAAUCGACCAUACCCCAAAAUACAAAUGAACCAACCGCUACUUUGUUACACAGCGAUGCG
ensembl:lncRNA